rnacentral:rRNA from 1 species
GACGAACGCUGGCGGCGUGCUUAACACAUGCAAGUCGAACGGUGAUCUUGGGAGCUUGCUCCUGGGUGAUCAGUGGCGAACGGGUGAGUAACACGUGAGUAACCUGCCCCUGACUCUGGAAUAACUUCGGGAAACCGAAGCUAAUACCGGAUAUGACACAGAGCCGCAUGGUUUCUGUGUGGAAAGUUUUUUCGGUUGGGGAUGGACUCGCGGCCUAUCAGCUUGUUGGGGAGGUAAUGGCUCACCAAGGCGACGACGGGUAGCCGGCCUGGGAGGGCGACCGGCCACACUGGGACUGAGACACGGCCCAGACUCCGACGGGAGGCAGCAGUGGGGAAUAUUGCACAAUGGGCGAAAGCCUGAUGCAGCGACGCCGCGUGAGGGAUGAAGGCCUUCGGGUUGUAAACCUCUUUCAGUAGGGAAGAAGCGCAAGUGACGGUACCUACAGAAGAAGCACCGGCUAACUACGUGCCAGCAGCCGCCGUAACAC